AACGCUGAAGAGAGGAGCUUGCUCUUCUUGGAUGAGUUGCGAACGGGUGAGUAACGCGUAGGUAACCUGCCUUGUAGCGGGGGAUAACUAUUGGAAACGAUAGCUAAUACCGCAUAACAAUGGAUGACACAUGUCAUUUAUUUGAAAGGGGCAAUUGCUCCACUACAAGAUGGACCUGCGUUGUAUUAGCUAGUAGGUGAGGUAAUGGCUCACCUAGGCGACGAUACAUAGCCGACCUGAGAGGGUGAUCGGCCACACUGGGACUGAGACACGGCCCAGACUCCUACGGGAGGCAGCAGUAGGGAAUCUUCGGCAAUGGGGGCAACCCUGACCGAGCAACGCCGCGUGAGUGAAGAAGGUUUUCGGAUCGUAAAGCUCUGUUGUAAGUCAAGAACGGGUGUGAGAGUGGAAAGUUCACACUGUGACGGUAGCUUACCAGAAAGGGACGGCUAACUACGUGCCAGCAGCCGCGGUAAUACGUAGGUCCCGAGCGUUGUCCGGAUUUAUUGGGCGUAAAGCGAGCGCAGGCGGUUUGAUAAGUCUGAAGUUAAAGGCUGUGGCUCAACCAUAGUUCGCUUUGGAAACUGUCAAACUUGAGUGCAGAAGGGGAGAGUGGAAUUCCAUGUGUAGCGGUGAAAUGCGUAGAUAUAUGGAGGAACACCGGUGGCGAAAGCGGCUCUCUGGUCUGUAACUGACGCUGAGGCUCGA
rnacentral:rRNA from 1 species